AGUAAAAAGCAAAAAUACAAGAGGAUCUCCAGGGAGAAGGAAGUCUGUCACCCUCCUAGAAGGCCACCUCUGUUACCAAUUUCUUGUAUCUUUCCCCAGAGUCUGCACAGAUAGGAGCACACAAGUAUUUGUAUCCUUCAGGUAGAUUUGGGCUGUUAAAGCUUAAGGGAUGAUUGUGAAAGGAUUUGAAAAACGCUCAUUGUGUUGUGGGGAAGGCACUCACUAUGUAAAAGAUGAAAAAAAAAAAUAACAAAACCAACAAAAGUAUAUGAAGUAUGAUCCCAAAUGAAAAAAAAAACUGUCCUUAGG
rnacentral:lncRNA from 1 species